rnacentral:rRNA from 1 species
AUACGGAGGAUCCGAGCGUUAUCCGGAUUUAUUGGGUUUAAAGGGUGCGCAGGCGGCCAUUUAAGUCAGCGGUUAAAUCGUGGGGCUCAACCCCAUUCUGCCGUUGAUACUGGGUGGCUUGAUUGCGGUCGAGGUUGGCGGAAUUCGUUGUGGAGCGGUGAAAUGCAUAGAUAUGACGAAGAACACCGAUUGCGUAGGCAGCUGACCAGACCGCAAAUGACGCUCAUGCACGAAAGUGCGGGGAUCGAACAGGAUUAGAUACCCUGGUAGUCCGCACAGUAAACGAUGAAUACUUGUUUUCGGCGAUAUAAUGUCGGAGGCAAAGCGAAAGCGAUAAGUAUUCCACCUGGGGAGUACGCCGGCAACGGUGAAACUUAAAGGAAUUGACGGGG